UACGUAGGGUGCAAGCGUUGUCCGGAAUUAUUGGGCGUAAAGAGCUCGUAGGCGGUCUGUCGCGUCUGCUGUGAAAUCCCAGGGCUUAACCCUGGGCCUGCAGUGGGUACGGGCAGAAUAGAGUGCGGUAGGGGAGAUCGGAAUUCCUGGUGUAGCGGUGAAAUGCGCAGAUAUCAGGAGGAACACCGGUGGCGAAGGCGGAUCUCUGGGCCGUAACUGACGCUGAGGAGCGAAAGCAUGGGUAGCGAGCAGG
rnacentral:rRNA from 1 species